UACGGGGGGGGCAAGCGUUGUUCGGAAUUACUGGGCGUAAAGGGCUCGUAGGCGGCCAACUAAGUCGGACGUGAAAUCCCUCGGCUCAACCGGGGAACUGCGUCCGAUACUGGAUGGCUUGAAUCCGGGAGAGGGAUGCGGAAUUCCAGGUGUAGCGGUGAAAUGCGUAGAUAUCUGGAGGAACACCGGUGGCGAAGGCGGCAUCCUGGACCGGCAUUGACGCUGAGGCGCGAAAGCCAGGGGAGCAAACGGG
rnacentral:rRNA from 1 species